GAAUUCACUAGUGAUUCAGGCCUAACACAUGCAAGUCGAGCGAACCACUUCGGUGGUGAGCGGCGAACGGGUGAGUAACACGUAGGUGAUCUGCCCAUCAGACGGGGACAACGAUUGGAAACGAUCGCUAAUACCGGAUAGGACGAAAGUUUAAAGGUGCUCCUGGCACCGCUGAUGGAUGAGCCUGCGGCGCAUUAGCUAGUUGGUAGGGUAAAGGCCUACCAAGGCGACGAUGCGUAGCCGACCUGAGAGGGUGAACGGCCACACUGGGACUGAGACACGGCCCAGACUCCUACGGGAGGCAGCAGUAGGGGAUCUUCGGCAAUGGGCGAAAGCCUGACCUUUUAGGGCCGCGUGAAUGAUGAAGGCCUUCGGGU
rnacentral:rRNA from 1 species